CGAAAGUUAGGAGGUUCGAAGGCGAUCAGAUACCGCCCUAGUUCUAACCAUAAACGAUGCCAACCAGCGAUCCGCCUGAGUUCCUCAAAUGACUCGGCGGGCAGCUUCCGGGAAACCAAAGUGUUUGGGUUCCGGGGGAAGUAUGGUUGCAAAGCUGAAACUUAAAGGAAUUGACGGAAGGGCACCACCAGGUGUGGAGCCUGCGGCUUAAUUUGACUCAACACGGGAAAACUUACCCGGCCCGGACACUGGAAGGAUUGACAGAUUAAGAGCUCUUUCUUGAUUCAGUGGGUGGUGGUGCAUGGCCGUUCUUAGUUGGUGGAGCGAUUUGUCUGGUUAAUUCCGAUAACGAACGAGACUCUAGCCUACUAAAUAGGCGUUCCGAUCCUUUAUGUCGGACGUUCUUCUUAGAGGGACAAGCGGCUUUUAGCCGCACGAGACAGAGCAAUAACAGGUCUGUGAUGCCCUUAGAUGUCCGGGGCCGCACGCGCGCUACACUGAAGGAAUCAGCGUGUGCUUUCCCUGUCUGGUAGGACUGGGUAACCCGUUAAACCUCCUUCGUGAUAGGGAUAGGGGCUUGUAAUUGUUCCCCUUGAACGAGGAAUACCCAGUAAGCACGAGUCAUAAGCUCGUGUUGAUUACGUCCCUGCCCUUUGUACACACCGCCCGUCGCUACUACCGAUUGAAUGAUUUAGUGAGGUCUUCGGACUGGCGCUCGUAGCGACCUUUGGCCGCGCCGACGUGCCGGAAAGAUGACCAAACUUGAUCAUUUAGAGGAAGUAAAAGU
rnacentral:rRNA from 1 species